UACGGAGGGUGCGAGCGUUGUCCGGAAUCACUGGGCGUAAAGGGCGCGUAGGCGGCCUGAUAAGUAGGGGGUGAAAUCCUGCGGCUUAACCGCAGGGCUGCCUUCUAAACUGUCAGGCUCGAGCACAGUAGAGGCAGGUGGAAUUCCCGGUGUAGCGGUGGAAUGCGUAGAGAUCAGGAGGAACACCAAUGGCGAAGGCAGCUCGCUGGGACGGUACUGACGCUGAGACGCGAAAGCGUGGGGAGCAAACAGG
rnacentral:rRNA from 1 species